ACGUAGGGGGCAAGCGUUGUCCGGAAUUACUGGGCGUAAAGGGUGCGUAGGCGGCGCUUUAAGUCAGAUGUGAAAUACUCAGGCUUAACCUGGGGGGUGCAUUUGAAACUGGAGCACUUGAGUGCAGGAGAGGAAAGUGGAAUUCCUAGUGUAGCGGUGAAAUGCGUAGAUAUUAGGAGGAACACCAGUGGCGAAGGCGACUUUCUGGACUGUAACUGACGCUGAGGCACGAAAGCGUGGGGAGCAAACAG
rnacentral:rRNA from 1 species